GGUUGAUCCUGCCAGUAGUCAUAUGCUUGUCUCAAAGAUUAAGCCAUGCAUGUCUAAGUUCAUGCCUUUAUACGGUGAAACCGCGAAUGGCUCAUUAAAUCAGCUAUGGUUUAUUGGAUCGUACUCGUUAAAUGGAUAACUGUAAUAACUCUAGAGCUAAUACAUGCCACGAAGCCCUGACCCCGCUCGUCGGGGAAUGGGUGCACUUAUUAGAACAGAAGCCAACCAGUACAUGCAUUCUUUCGGGGGUGUGUGUAUUGUAGCACUUCUGGUGACUCUGGAUAAUUGUUACA
rnacentral:rRNA from 1 species